AACAGCGUUAAGGUGGACAGAGACAUAUAGACAGAUAUGGGUGUUCCCAUUACUGAAGUCAUGUCUGCGCGCCCACUGAUUUACAGGUUCAGGCACAAACAGAAGCUACAGCUUUACGCGAGAGCUAGAGACUGACAGCCGCUAACACAGACACAGCGUGGUGUUGCCGGAGGGUGAAUAACAGUCGUUCAUUUGGUCUCAGUAUGGGAACAAAAUUCAGCAGAGGAGCAGCACAGAUAGAGAAGUUGACAGGCUCGAAGACGCAUCUUAUCAAAAUGCCCCGUGAAGAACGAUAAUAUGUCCCACGGGUACAGAGAAACCCUAUAACAUUCAUUUAGCUCUGCUUUCCACUAUGAAGAAUGUUUGAUCCCCGCCAUCAAUAGGGGAGAGUGGGGUGAUUUGUGCCAGGGGGUAGUAUAGAUCCAACCCUUGUUUUUGGAAAACCAUAGAAGAAAUUGGUCAUGUGACCACAUAAUUUUGAAAAGGCAGCCAUUUUACUUAUCCUCCAAAGAAGAGAGACACAUGUCAUGAGCGCAGGAUGGAAACCAAAGGUUGCUGAUCAUUAGCUGAUGUUGCUAAUUCAGCUCUCUCGGGCAUGUGGGUCAUACAUGGAGGAUGCGGCCGGGUGUUCUUGCAACGCAGGCUGUUUUCCGGACGAGACUGGAAGAAGGAAGGAAGGAUUUGGAUCUUUGUUCUUACUGUAUAAUGUCAUCAGCCAAUCAGUGUUGUCAUGAUGUCACCCAUCAGCAAAGAUGGCAUGGCAACUACUUCCAAUCAGCCAAGCAAGUGCCAUUGAGAUGAAGGUAAGGAAAGCACAAACUGCUGCUCAAGAAAGGAGAGCUAAUGACUAGCCUCAGCAGAGAAGCACAUGGUGGGGGAGCUGUCAAUCAAAAUCUUUCAUCUGCUGUAUGUGGCAACAAUUAACGCCUACAAGAUAAGGCUACAGCUCAACACACAGUCCUGUCAAAAACAGAACAUCCUCCUGAGGUAUAGGGCGAGGGAAAGAAGAUAAAGGA